rnacentral:rRNA from 1 species
CCUACGGGCGACAGCAGUGGGGAAUAUUGCACAAUGGGGGAAACCCUGAUGCAGCGACGCCGCGUGAGUGAAGAAGUAUCUCGGUACGUAAAGCUCUAUCAGCAGGGAAGAAAAUGACGGUACCUGACUAAGCAGCCCCGGCUAACUACGUGCCAGCAGCCGCGGUAAUACGUAGGGGGCAAGCGUUAUCCGGAUUUACGGGGUGUAAAGGGAGCGUAGACGGCAGCACAAGUCUGGAGUGAAAUCCCGGGGCUUAAUCCCGGAACUGCUUUGGAAACUGUGCGGCUGGAGUGCAGGAGGGGUAAGCGGAAGUCCUAGUGUAGCGGUGAAAUGCGUAGAUAUUAGGAAGAACACCGGUGGCGAAGGCGGCUUACUGGACUGUAACGGACGUUGAGGCUCGAAAGCGUGGGGAGCAAACAGGAUUAGAUACCCCUGUAGUC